UACGUAGGGGGCUAGCGUUGUCCGGAUUUAUUGGGCGUAAAGAGCGUGUAGGCGGCCAUGUAGGUCCGGUGUGAAAACUCGAGGCUUAACCUCGAGAUGUCAUCGGAAACCAUUUGGCUAGAGUCCGGAAGAGGAGAGUGGAAUUCCUGGUGUAGCGGUGAAAUGCGCAGAUAUCAGGAGGAACACCGAUGGCGAAGGCAGCUCGCUGGGACGGUACUGACGCUGAGGCGCGAAAGCGUGGGGAGCAAACAGG
rnacentral:rRNA from 1 species